rnacentral:tRNA from 1 species
AAAAUCAGUCGAAUUUUGAAAUCGUGAGGGUUCGAGUCCCUCUAUCCCCA